rnacentral:tRNA from 1 species
GGGUCUAUGGCGCAGUUGGUAGCGCGUCUCGUUCGCAAUGAGAAGGUCGGCGGUUCGAAUCCGCCUAGAUCCA